CAGAGUUCAUGCCCUAACGGGUAGAUCUCCCACCCUUGUGUAUCAUUACCUUUGUUGCUUUGGCAGGCCGUCAGGCUUCGGCCCGGCUACCGGCUCCGGCUGGUAAGCGCCUGCCAGAGGACCCCAAACUCUGAAUAUUAGUGUCGUCUGAGUACUAUAUAAUAGUUA
rnacentral:misc_RNA from 1 species